GGGAAUAUUGGACAAUGGGCGCAAGCCUGAUCCAGCAAUGCCGCGUGGGUGAAGAAGGCUUUCGGAUUGUAAAGCCCUUUCGGCGGGGACGAUGAUGACGGUACCCGCAGAAGAAGCCCCGGCUAACUUCGUGCCAGCAGCCGCGGUAAUACGAAGGGGGCUAGGGGUGCUCGGGAUGACUGGGCGUAAAGGGCGCGUAGGCGGCUUGGUUAGUUAGACGUGAAAUUCCUGGGCUCAACCUGGGGGCUGCGUUUAAUACAGCUAGGCUAGAGUGGGGAAGAGGGUUGUGGAAUUCCCAGUGUAGAGGUGAAAUUCGUAGAUAUUGGGAAGAGCACCGGUGGCGAAGGCGGCAACCUGGUCCUUGACUGACGCUGAGGCGCGAAA
rnacentral:rRNA from 1 species